CCUACGGGGGGCAGCAGUGGGGGAUAUUGCACAAUGGGGGGAACCCUGAUGCAGCGACGCCGCGUGGGUGAAGGAGUGCUUCGGCAUGUAAAGCCCUAUCGGCAGGGAAGAAGCAAGACGGUACCUGACUAAGAAGCCCCGGCUAACUACGUGCCAGCAGCCGCGGUAAUACGUAGGGGGCGAGCGUUAUCCGGAUUCACUGGGUGUAAAGGGAGCGUAGACGGCCAUGCAAGCCAGGGGUGAAAGCCCGGGGCACAACCCCGGGACUGCCCUUGGAACUGUGCGGCUAGAGUGCGGGAGGGGCAGGCGGAAUGCCUGGUGUAGCGGUGAAAUGCGUAGAUAUCAGGAGGAACACCGGCGGCGAAGGCGGCCUGCUGGACUGCGACUGACGUUGAGGCUCGAAAGCGUGGGGAGCGAACAGGAUUAGAUACCCCGGUAGUC
rnacentral:rRNA from 1 species